AAUGAAUUGCCUGAAAAAGGGCUAUCUUGAUAGGAUAGAUCAUAUAGGAUUCCUAUAUUCAUUU
rnacentral:tRNA from 1 species